UACCUUCCUGGUUCCUUUAUCUAUCGUCAAGACAUUGUGUUAUGGAUCGCAAUUCCAUUAACACUGUUCUCCUCUCAAUUAUUGAGCGUAGCUAAACCUGAAAGUGGAUCUUCAAAUCAUUGAGCAUGGCAGCAUUGCAAUUAUUUAUUCUCUUUGUGGCCCUUAAUGUGGUCCUCAGUUCAUCACGGCAAAUCAUCACGACCCUGCCGGGCUUUGAUGGUGAUCUUCCCUUCAAACUCGAAACUGGGUAUGUUCUAUUUUGUUUUAUUUUUCCUUUCUUGACAUACUUAUUAGCUGAAUUAAUUUCCCCAGAAAGAAAAAAAAACAAGUUAUUAAUUACUUUUAGGUAUAUUGGGGUGGGAGAGAAUGAUAAUGUGCAGCUGUUUUACUACUUCAUUGAAUCCGAGCGGAGUCCUGAAGAUGACCCUCUUGUGCUUUGGCUCUCCGGAGGCCCUGGUUGCUCUGGAUUUUGGGCCCUUGCGUAUCAACUUGGUAUAUUUUUUUAUUCCUGAAAUGAAAUAUAUAUAUAUAUAUAUAUAUAUAUAUAUAUAUGCUUUUAUUUUUUUGGUUUCCAAUCUCCUUUUUUUCGUAGAGAGUGGGGUCCAAAUCUUACGUUAUAUGCAACACCUCACGAGAUUUAAGAGUAAAACCAAAUAGCACCCACAUCAUAUAUAUUUGUUGAAGUAUGCAUCGACGGCUCUUCCUCUAGACAACUUAGGCGAUUGUUUAGAGCUCUACUAUAGAGAAUUGGCUGACGAUUUAAAAAAUAUGGAGAGAGAGAGAGCCCAAAUAUGGUGAUUAAAACGUCUACACAGUAGAGGCUAGUGGUAAAAAUAGUGCAUGAAAGUUAUAACUAGAUGUCAUUCUUAGGUUAAAAAGAAGAAAUAUUUUUAAGGUUAUGUAUCAUAUUUAAGGAAAAAAGACAAAAAUAUUCCUUUUGUACUAGAUUUAUUAUUUCUCAUAAACACUUGAUGUGUCCAACUUGACACUUGAUUUCUAAACUCUUCUAAUUUAGUAGAUUAUUCCAAAUGGUGUCUUUAUAUUACAUAUGGCAAAAAAGCUCGGGCCGACCCUUCCCAUUCCCAUAAGCUUUGGCUUGGGCCUCUACAUGAAGGGUCUAGACAAGGGCUUAAGGGAAAAAUGCCUAAGCUAGGCCCAAACCCUCUAUUUUUAUAAAAAAUAAAUAAAUAAGUUAUAUAUUAGAAUAAUAAAUUAAAAAUUAAAAAAUAAUGAAAAAAAGCUUAAAUCCCUAAUUUAUAUAUCAAUAAUGAAUCAAAAAACCCAAAUUAUAAAUUAUACUAUCUUUUGCGCUUAAUUAAUUAAAAGAGUGCUUAAAUUAGAGAAUCCAGUAUUAAAAAAAUUAAAUCUCUAAAUUUUUAUUUGUUUUUUUCUUUAUUUAUUAUUUUAUUUUAAAAUAUUCAUUUUCUAUAAUUCAUUGUUGAUUAUAAUAACUUGUUCAUUAUUAACUCAUUUUCAAAUUUACAACAGUUUAAAAAAAGUAAAAAAAUAAGUGAAAGUCCAAGCCUAGCCCGAGCCUGGCCCUUAAACUUCCCCUCUAAUAGGCUUAGGCCGGACUUUUUCGCCAUCCAUAGUUUAUAUUGCUCUUAAGUAUUAUACCAAUUUUAUUCUUUUAAUUAUCUACGUGUCCUUCAUUUUUUGGUUCAAAAAUAUCGUAUUAAAUUUACCUUCAAACAGGAAUCAAUGGUUGUGGCACAAGGCAUUAGUUAUAGUAAAUGAUAGAGUUGGGCUACCGGAAGAAACAAUGAAUUAAAAAACAAUAGCUAUUGGUUGCAGAUACUUAGUAUAAUAAGUUAUAAUAACACGUCAGUAUUUUAAUUUUUUUAAUUAAUAGAACAAUAUGUGAGUUGGUUGAAAACAUUGAUUAUAAGUCUUACAUCCAGGUUAAAAUAGAAAAAAAGAAGUAUUUAAGCACGUUGACAUUUUUAAUGAGACAUUAUUAGCGGGAUAUUAGGAACGUCAUCGGGAUUUUAAUGGAUUUUAAAAUAGUAAAUUACAUGAGGAGUUUUAUCAUUAUCCUUUCUUAAUAUUCUUGAUGGUAUGUCCUUUGUAGGUCCAUUGUCAUUUGACUACGAAAAUUCUAGAGAAAAUUCCCCAAAGUUGUUGUUGAAUCCAUACUCAUGGACAAAGGUGAGACAUUAAUUAGAAAAUUCUUUUACAAACUUUGUGUUUUAAUAAUAACAAUAAUAAAUUUGGAAUUGUAUUAGAGAUCUCAUUGGGAGUUGCAUGUAAAUUAUUAUCCAGGUUGCCAGUAUUAUAUUCAUAGAUGCACCAGCUGGCACCGGAUUCUCAUAUGUCAAAAAUUGGCAAGGAUUCGUUAUGAAUGAUACACUUUCAGCAGUGCAAACGUAUUUUUUUCUAAGAAAGGUGAGUAAAAAUUGAGGCAGUGUGCGUCUUACUGCAUAAUAAAAUCACUAACAAUUAAUUUAUUAUAAGUUGAUGACCAUUUGUAAGAAUAUUAGCUUUAAACUAAAAGUUAAUAUUUUAGCUGUUGUGCUUUAUUAAUUAAGUGGAAGUCCAAGUAGUGCAAACAUAUAUACCUUAAAUCAUGCAUCAAUUGAGUCUAUUGGUUUUCAAAAUUAAUGCAUUAUGCAUGCUAACCAAUCUUUUUAAUUUGUAUAUGAAUGAUGGAUUAGUGGCUUAUAGCUCAUCCCAGUUUCCUCGCGAAUCCACUCUAUAUUUUUGGCGAGUCCUAUUCUGGCAAAGUCCUUCCAAUCGUUGUUCAAAAAAUUUCUGACGGUAAUUUUUUUUUUCCCCUUCUUCCAUCUUAGAAUUUAGUUACUCUGCAUGCAGUGAAACAGAAUCAAACAUUUGCCAAAUUCACUUGCAGAAUAUAAUGGCAUUGAUUAUUACCAUAUUUAUCACAAUUAUCAUUAUUUAGUGGCUGAUACUUUGUUGCAGGUAUUGAUCUCGGAGAUGAGCCUAGAAUGAAUCUCAAAGUAGGUCACCUAGAAUCGGAUAUCACAUAAAUUUUGAUUUAUUUCAUUCUCAGUUUUUUACAUGACUAUUGAAUCUUAACAAUUUUGAUAAUGGACACAGGGAUAUGUGCUUGGCAACCCAGUAACAGAUGAGGCUUCAGACAUGAAUUUUAGACCACAAUUCGCAUAUAUGAAGGGACUCAUCACCCAUGAAAUCUACGAGGUGACUUCUUUAAUCGUAUAUAUUUUUCAAAUUAAUAUUUUGUGUCUAGAUAUAAAAUCCUUUCUCUAAUGUAGGUGUCUUCAUUUUUUCCCAUGCGGAUAUACUAUUAAGUCAUAUACUUUAAUAGAGUACUAUUAAUUUUUAAGUUAAUAAGAUAAAUUUUUUUAAAGUUUAUUAUCUAAUAAAUUUAUUAAAUUAUUAAUUUUUCAUUUGACCCAAGCCAAGACUAACAAAAACUAUCUUUUAAUUGAAAUUAUCAAUUUAUCAAGUAUUAAUUUAACCAGGUUCCAUUGUAUAUGUAAAACAUAGAUUUAGCUAGUUACUAGUAACCAAUUAGUGGCGAAGCCAUGUUAGGACCUAGGGUUGGCAGAAUUCCCUAAAUCUAUUUUGAGAUUCGGGAUCCAGGCCCAUUUGAGACGAGAUUCGAAAUAAAAUUUAUCUUAGUUUACUAUUCGGAUCAGGAUUGGGACUCAAAUUUUUCCUAAAUUAUUGCUUGGUACGGGAUUCAAGAUGUUUGAAGAUCCUGAUCAGGAUCUUAAACGUCUCGAAAUCUCAGUUUCCACAGGUGCAUGACAAAUCAAUUUGAUGAAUCACAUAUAUAUAUAGAACAUAACGGUCAUAUGUUUAUAACAAAUCAUUUUAAUAAAUAAAAUAUAUAUGAUAUGUCGGUCAUAAUCGUAUGACAUGUCGUUUAUGAUAAAAACUGCAAUGUGUGGUAGAAAACUCAUGUUAUUUGGAACAAUUCAGGAUUCCAAUUGAGACGGAUCAGGAUCCAUUUUUGUCCCAAUUUACUACUUGAUAAGGGAUUUAGAACACAUUUUUUGCCCGAUUAUCUAUCAGGACAGGAUCAGUAUUGACAAAUCCUAGCCCGUUCGGGAUAAAUUUUUAACCUUACCAGGGUUGAAGUUAUGUAAAAUCCUCAAUAUUUUAGGUUCAAAUUAUAAGGAGAAAAAAAAUGGUGGGCCCUGUAGGUCUUAUUCAUCGAUAAGUAGUUGACAUCCACAUUUAUAUAAAAAUCAGACACCAAAAUUAAAAGAAGGAUAUAAAUAUAACGUAUGAUAUAUGAAUAUGAACUGCCAUGUAUUAAUUGCUUAAAAUGUGUGAGAUGCUUCUUUUAUUUUCUGUUUACAGUCAGCCAAAAGAAAUUGCAGGGGCGAGUACACGAAUGCAGAUCCAAGCAAUGGCUUAUGUAAAGCUGAUCUUCAAAAUAUAACAGCGGUAUAUAGAACAAAACUCGUUGUCAUUUUGUUCAAUUAACUAGUAUUAUAAGUACAGGUAGCAAAAUUAACUCACCCAAUUGAAUUUGUAGUGCAUUGGAAAAUUAUCUAUCCAGAACAUAUAUGAACCUCAAUGUAGUUUAGAUAUACUCAGAAGACCAGUGCAAUUCAUAUGGGAUCGCGCCAUCAUCGAAGAAGAUUCUUUUGAUUUUCUCUAUUCGCCAGUUCAAUCAGCUCCAAGCCAUUGGUGUCGGGUAAAAUUCUAUACACACCUCCAAGGCAUUGGUGUCGGGUAAAAUUCUAUACACACACACACAAUAAAUGUGCAAUAACCCAUCAAUGUAUAUAGAAUCAAUCAAUCAACUUUGAUCAAGGUAACGUAUUUCAUAUCCAAUUUUGAACGUUAAUGUCUCUUUCAGUCCUAGGGUCUGAGUUAAUUACCCUAUUAGUCCUUGAAUCUAUAAGUUAUUUGUUUUUGUAAAAUCAACUUAAUUAUACUUAACCUUUCAUAUGUUGCAUGUCAAACCAAAAAAAAAAAAAAAAAAACCUUCGCUCGUAAAAAGUUAGAUCUAACAGUUGUGGAAAUAACACUAGAAACCAACUAAUAACCAAAACUGAAAACUCAGUGGAAUAUAUAAAGGGGAAAUUACUCAAUUUUAAACGUAAGCAUAUAUAAGCAGCACUGCAGCGCACAUCUGUUUCUAAGGUUUCUUUACUUUUAUUAUUAUUGUUGUUAUUAUUGCUUUACUAUGUACUCAACAAUUAUAGUAUGAAUUGCUGAUGUUCCACUUUCAUAGAAAGAUAACUAUUUCUACUCGUACAAUUGGGCAAAUAAUAAAGCUGUGCAAAAGGCUCUGAGAGUUCGGGAGGUAUGUUAUGGUUGGUUAGAGCAUAGUCGCAACCCAAAUCAUUAAAUAUUAUUUUUACUAAUACAUUCCCAUAUGAGCAGGGGACAGUAGAAUAUUGGACGAGAUGCAAUAAAAGUUUGUCUUACACAUCUGAUGUCUCAAGUGGUGUUGAUUAUCACCGAAAGCUCACCAAGAAAGGCUAUCAAGUUUUGGUUUACAGGUAAUAAUAUAUAGACAAGUUAUUAGGAGCGUAUGUUCCAAUAUUUUAGAAUGCCAACAUUUUGAAGGAUGAAUAAAUUCAUCAAUGAUCGGGAAUGUUCAAUGAUCCGGAAUAUUUAACUAAUGAAAUGAUAGUUUGGAAUAUGCCUGAUUGCUUUUUAUACAUGAGACUUCUUCUCCUUCCUCGAAUUUUUCCACAAACGUAAUUCAAGCCUGUAUCUAAAAAGACACUUUAAUAACGCUCUGGUUAGCUCAUAUUUUAUGACUUUUUGGUAAAUCAAAUUUAGUUUUGUCUUCUUCUAGUGCAGUCAAUAGUCCCUUCUUGAUUUUUUUGACCCAUAUUUGAGUCUUAAAUUGAGUCUCAAUAUUAUGUGUCACUCAUUUACUAGAUGAUGGACGUGAAGGCUUUUAAAGUCACUUAACUAGCAUCCAAUAAAUGAAUGCUACAAUAAUUGAAACUUAAAUUUUGAGAUACCUAGUAUUGCUCUUAAAAAUUUAUCACGGAGGUGCUAUGAUGGACUAAGUUUCUAGCUAUCUCGUAGUCUACACAUUGGACUAAUUUUCUUUCACGAAUACAGCGGAGAUGUCGACAUGGUAGUUCCAUAUAUGGCUACUGAAGCAUGGAUAAAGUCAUUAAAUUUGACGAUUGAAACUGGCUGGCAGCCGUGGUUGGUGGAAAGUCAAGUUGCAGGGUUGGUUUAUUUUCAUCUCAGCUUGUUUAUCAUAUUUGGAAUAUUAACUUUAACAUUAUAUGAUAUCUCACAGUUGUUUUAAUUUCUACUAUUGAUUUCUGUAGAUAUUGGUACCGUUACAAGGGAAAGAACAAUUAUCAUUUGACAUUUGCCACAGUAAAGGCAAGAAUAAAUCAUUUUCCCUGAAAACUAUCUACCGUGAUUAAUUAGCUAAUUAAGCAGCUAAAUUAUAUAAUUAAUGACUACUAAUUGUGUAAUUAAUAUGGGUUGUGCAGGGAGCAGGUCAUAAUGGUCCAGAGUACAGGCCUAAGGAAUGUCUUGCAAUGAUCGACAGGUGGUUCGCAUCCUAUCCUCUCUAGAGCCACGUUCAUAUAAUUAUUAAGUUUUGGAGAUUGAAAAAUAAAUGUGGAGCUUAAGUGGCUGAUGGCGUUGUAAACACCCAUAAAAUUAUUUAUGUUUGGCUUUACCAAACUUAUGAUCUGAAAAACUAGUAUUGCAAGAGCCUUGAUGCUCCUAUUUGCUUUUUUAAAAACAUCGCUCCAAACUCAUUUGUGUACGGUUUUUUUUCAUCUCAACUUGGUAAUCAUAUUUGUCUUAUGAAAUAAUUAUAAUUUAUGAAUCCUGUCACACGUCUGCCAUAUAUAAAGCCUCGGGAUCAAAAACUGUGACAUGAGUAAUCGUCAGAGCCGCUUUGCAUUCAAUAAAAGUGACACAAAAAUUUAAUGGGAAUUCUAUUGAAAUUGAUUGAUUGGACAAAAUGAGAGGAGGAAAUACCUCCACGUCUACCCAUUAAUUAUAAUACAACACUGGUAGGUACUUUUUUUUUUUUUUUUUUUUUUUUGAGAAUGGUAGGUACUAAUUUCUGGUGUUCAAUACCACCAAAAAAAAAAUCGAAAAAUUUACAUCAAUAGCCAUAAAAAUUUUGGCUUUUUUCAUCUUAACUCCCCAAACAAACUUCUAUCAACAUUAGUCAUAAAAGAGUCUUUGAGACCAAAAUACCCUUCUCUCUCAUCUCCAUAAUGUUGGUGAGCUUGCCUUGGCGCAACAACUCGCCGAUUCUGUCAAGCCUUUAAAUCAGCCAUGUCGGCAGUAGAAACACGCUCCAUUUCGGAAAUGGCGUCGUCAGAGAUUUUGGACUCGGUUUCACUGACCUCGUAAUCUUCAAGACCAGAGAAGCUCGCUCUGUCUCGGACUUCCCUACGUGGGCUGCCGGAAGAGAUGAAGGCGUUGGUGAAUCUGAGAUAUUUGAAUUUGGAGGAAACAUCUAAAAUGUCUAGGAUUCCAAAGCAGUUGAUAUCCAGCAUUUCGAAGUUACAGGUACUCAGGAUGCUCAAAUGCAGUGGAAGCGUUCUAUCUGACGAUGCAGAACCUUUGAUGAAGGAACUGCUCUGUUUGGAACAUUUGGAUGUUAUCAGCUUGACAUUAGAUUGUUCACGUGCCAAUGUCAUCCCAAUUCUUUUCAAGUAUCGAAAGCUGGUGAGCGUUACUCAAUCUCUGGAGAUUAGUUCCUUCUGGUUUAGUCCAAGGCUCAAUGCCUCAGAUCUAGCAAAUCUGGCUAGCAUGGAAAAGCUUGGGGAGUUGAAUUUUAUGUUGUGUAAUUUUGAAGAGUUUAAGAGCACAGGAGAUGUAGAGAAAGUUCUUCAAAGUCGUUUCCGCAGUCUUCGCAAAAUUGUAAUAAAUGGGUGCGAAGUGAAGGACUUGACGUGGCUUGUUUUUGUUCCAAACCUCUAGCAGCUACAUAUAAGUUUGGUUUAGAAGAAUUGAAGAGCAUCUGUUGGAGCCCGUUGCCUGGAAGUGUUGGUGCGACAGGCGCCUGUCGCACCAAGGCCAUUUGGUGACCACUUGGUGCGACAUGCCGUUUCUUCUUCUUGCUUUCACCUUCUUGAUUUCUCACCCUCGGAACAAAAGACACUAACGAUAUACUUUUAGUUAACACAUUAUUCUUGCGACUGCCAAACAACAAAGUUGACAAAGAAUGCUUUCCCUGAUGAUCCGUAGUAGUAACGCGAUACUUAUUAUACACUGGAGAAGAACAAGAAGAAGCCUCAGAAGAAAAAUAGUAAGACGAUAACGAUGAGGAAGAAGAAUAAGCAAUUCUAAGAAAAAAAAUUGGGGUGUAAUCGUAUGAGAUAUAAGCAGUGUGAAAACUAUAAUAUGGACAUUUAACGGCUUACAUCACCUUUUACAAUUUGUUAAAAAGAUUGAAUUCAGAACGCAAAAGCAACCCUGGUAAAAGCAAUAAUAAUGACGAUGAUGGGAGUUUGUUCGAUUUGGGAGAGAUGUGAGAAAGAGAGUGUUGGGGGAGAGAUGAGAAAGAGGGGUAUUUUGGUCUCAAAUGUUCUUUUAUGGCUAAUGUUGAUAGAAAUUUGUUUGGGGGGUUAAGAUAGAAAAAGCUAAAAUUUUUAUGGCUAUUGGUGUAAAUUUCCCAAAAAAACCUCGGUUUCUAGGUGGAAUAAUUAAUAACAUAAGACUCUUUCACAAGAUUAUAUAAGAUAUGAAUUACCAAAAAGACAAAUUCAUAUUUCACUUGUGAUAAGUGUAAUGAAUGCCGUACCUUUCUCAGUCUUCAUCAGUUCAUUGAGCAUUAUGGCAGCAUUGCAAUUAUUUUACCUUUUCGUUGUCUCUAGCGUUGUUGCAUCACGCCAAAUAAUCAGAACCCUACCGGGCUUUGAUGGUGAUCUCGCAUUCAAACUAGAAACUGGGUAAGAAUUCCAGCUAGAGCAUGUUGUUUAGCUCUAGCUAAUUAAUUUAACGCUGUAUUAAUUAUUUGCAGGUAUAUUGGUGUGGGAGAUAAUGAUGAUGUGCAGCUGUUUUACUACUUUAUUAAAUCCGAGAGGAGUCCUGAAGAUGACCCUCUUGUGCUUUGGCUCACCGGCGGCCCUGGCUGUUCUGGAUUUUCUGGCCUUGUCUUUGACAUUGGUAUGAGAAUAAUAUCCAUUUAUUCCGCUAAUUAUCGUUGUCUUUACUCUUUUAAUAACAUUUUUGAAGAGAAUCUAAUUUUAUAAGUUUCCAUUACCAUUAAAAGAUCAUGGACGAAAUGUUUCCUUUUUCAUUUUUAAAUCAUACUAUUCAAUUAAUGUAGGUCCAUUGUCAUUUGACUAUGAAAAUUCCAAGGUAAACUCACCCAAGUUUUUGUUGAACCCAUACUCGUGGACAAAGGUACGACAUAGUUUCUCUUUGUUCUUCUAUUUUGUAAAUGGUAAGUUUAAUUAAUAAUUAGAACAGGGUUUGCAUCAGAGAUCUUUCUUAAAGCUGAAGUGAGCUUUGUUAGUGCCUCAGGGCUCCGGCUCGACAUCAUUCUAUUCAAAGUAUUUAUAUUUUGGCCCCUUACGAUAUAUUAUUUUAUGUUUUGGCGAUUUCAGUUUUACUUAUUUGCAAUGUGCCUCCCAAUUUUAGAUGUAAAUUCUAUUAGUUUGGCUACAAUUAUGUCUCUUUUUGUCACGGCUCCUCUCCCGACUGAGACUUGAGAGAGUUGUCAAUUAUUUUACAGGUUGCCAACGUUAUAUUCUUAGAUGCACCUGUAGGUACAAGAUUCUCAUACGCCAAUACUUAGGCAAGGAUACAUCAUGAAUGAUGCACUUUCAGCAGCACAAAACUAUUAUUUUUUAAGAAAAGUGAGGACAAAAAAUUGCUAUUCGUACGGAUUAACAAAUAUAUAUAAUAACAAACGAACAAAGAUUAAAAAAUUAAUAGAUUUUAAAUUUUUUUUUGAAUUUUUAUGAUUUGUUGUGAUUUUGUAUUUGUGGUUUUGUUUGUUGCUUAAAUGCUGUUGGAAACUUGGAAUAUUACCUAGUUCUAGAUGACAUUUUCAAAAAAUUUAAGGCUUCAUGAAACUCUUGGCACUCUAUAAUAAAACUUCUCUAUAAUUAUACUCUAUAUAAAAAUAAUUCUCUAUAGUUUGAAGAGGGAUAUUGCUAAUUUUUUUUACUAAAAUUAACUAUACCAUUUAUCUCUUAUUGCUUUCAUAAUAGCUAAUAACCUUCCUAACAACAUAAUUUUAUAGUAUUAUCAUUAUUUUCAAAUACAUUUUUAAUUAUAUUUAUUAUAAGAAAGUGUUUAUAAAAUAACAAAAAGUACAAGAAUCUUAUUAUUAAUUUUUAUUCACAUCGAGACAUAUAUUUGUUGUUUUUAGUACUUAAAUAAUUUUAUUUUAAUUUUUAUUUAUAUGAUUUAUUUAAUUUAUAAUAAAUAUAGAUAAAAAGUGUAUUUAAAAAUAAGAGUUGGAAAAUUGAUAAGCCUUGUUAUUUUGAAGGCCAUAUGAUUUAUGCCGGAAGCAGAAGAAGUGCUCUCGGGAGAUAUUUUUAGUAUUGCUAUCAGACAUUGGAAAAUUGAUAUUGAUUGCGAUUUUGAAGAAUAUUUGUAUUGAUUCUCUAAAUAAGAAUCCAUUAAUUGGUUUAGUUACGUUUCUGAUUGGAAAUGAAAUAUAAGGUGUACGAAUGAAUUUUAAUUUUGAAUUGUAGAAGCCGAAAUAUGCAGUCCAUGAAUUUUAAUUUGCUUUGUUAAAGUGUAGCAUUUGAGACCAAAUUUUUUAGCAGAACUUUAAUUCUUAGGGCCAAGGACCCAAUAAGCCUCAACAUAUACUGCCCCCAUGCUUCCCGUGUUGCUUUUGGUAACUACGAAAGGGAGUAUUGAUAGCUACAUAAUUUCUAAUACAUUAAGACAUGGUUUUAUUUGUCCUUGACCAUACAAGUUAGUCCCUGUCCCCUAUUAAAUUGACCAACCUACCAAUAGAGUACUGAAUCUAAAUUUUGAUCAUCACAAUAUAUAGUGAAAAAAGAAUAUUUCGGUAAUUUACUAUAGGAGUUGGGAGUCUAUUUGAUCAAUCAAAAAACAUUUUCUUAAAUACUUGAUGCUACCGUCCAAAAUUGCAGCCCAAAUUUGCCUUAGAUGCUACCGUUACCCAAAAUAAAAUCAAAAUAGGAGCCAGCGCAGUAUAAAUUUACAGAAUCAUUGAUUUCUUAAGCCAUGUAUUGCUUCACACUUUUUAGAAUCCAAUUUCUUCAAUCUCAAAUUGUCCCAGUUAAUUAAUUAUUGACCAUGAAAAGCAAGGAAAAAAAGAAAACCACAUUCAUGCAAAUUAUGUCAUCACCUGUCUUGCUUCUAAGGAAUGCUAGGGAUUCUUACAUCAACAGCUUCAAUGGCUGUGCCAAUGACGUUGGACGAGGCGGCGCGGUGGUCUGUCCGGUUCCACAUGUGUUGAGUACAUAAAAGCACCAGGUCGGCCAUGCUACUAUUUCCGCCCCGGCACGGAUCGCUUCAGCCAAAGUGAUAUGAGCAGAACACGUGGGCUAACAUGAGCCGACCAGAGAUGAAUACAACCAGGGAAAAAUACCGACCAGAGGUAUAUACCGAGCGGGCACUCAUCCCCAGAGAAGCGAGAACACGAUCCCACAGAAUCGUGGUAGUUGCGCUUUUCCCAAAACCGUUGAAGGACACGCGAGAUCCACGUUUGCCCACAAUGUAACAAUUAGAGUCCCAUGAGGGGCUGCCACUACCUGAAAAAGGUGGGAUGAAUGGCAAACGGAAACGUGGGGAUAACGGCUAUAAAAGAAGAAGAAAUCGAUGAAGAAAAGGAAGAAAAACUGAGAGAGGGAAAACGCUGCCAAAUUGCAACCAGGCCAUUUCCUUACAAAUUUCUAACAAACUUCUUGAAUCCAAAUUACAUUGUUUUCCCGUAAAUACCUUGUGCUAACUUAGGCAUCGGAGGGUUUACGCCGGCAAAACCACCGGCGUCUUUGACCCAUUUUUGUGAACGCAGGUCUAGUGAGAGAAAUGAGGGUGAUACCAGCCUUAGUGGUUCGAACAAACAGUCGAUAAUACAAACGUUGGUGAAAGAAUCUGGUCGGUCCAAGGGCGAGCAGAUUUCAGCAUCAACAUUUUGGCGCCGUCUAUGGGGAGCUGGAUAAAAAGCUACCACCGAAUCAGUAAUUACCGGAGAAACAGCGAACGAUUGUUAUGGAUGUGCCGAGAAAGGAUGCUUUGAGGGAGGAUAACGAAACUGUGGAGACAAUUACUCUCCGGAAAAUUACAAACGAAGCCCGGGAGAGGAUGAUGCAAGACCGAUUGGAACGGAUGGAGAAACAAAUGGAGACUCUCGCGACCAUACUGUAUGAGCUGAGGGAUGAGCGGAGAAAGGAUUGUGAAACCCCCGUGGGGAGAGAUGAUGUUGGAGCAGAGCCCAGCUUCCGGAGGCGUAGAGUUGAGGAAAUCCCUCCGCCGGUAGACCAACUUGAUGGGGUGCAUCCCCACAGAAGCACUAGUCGGGUUUUAGGAGAACGAGUAGAUGAAAGAAGGGACCAACCUCGCCCCGGAUGGGUACCGGAGAUUGAUGGCCGAGGGGCCAGUAUUGAUGAAGGAGAGCUCAGACAGCGGUUGCAAAACCCCGAGCAGGAACGAGCUCAGAUAGCUGCGCGUGAUCCUGACCGUGCUAUAGAAUUGGAGGAAGAAGUGUGCAAAUUAGCGCAAGUGAUAGAGGAGAUACAGGGCAAGAAAAAGCCCCUGAGCUGGAGGAUAAUGCUAGAUGAAGAAUCUCCAUUAUCAGCUGUGAUCAUGGGUACCAUAAUCCCAAGAGAUUUCCGCUUCCCCGACCUCAAAUACUCCGGGCGAAGUGAUCCACUGGUGCAUAUUGAACGUUUCAACGACGUGACGGGCGUGCAAGGGUUAACACCAGCCCAGAGAUGUAGGGUGUUACCAUUGACACUGGAAGGACGAGACCGAGAAUGGUACCGCAAGCUGACACGAGGAAGUAUCAGAGGGUACGAGUAGAUGUGCCAAGAGUUGGCCGAACAGUUCCGAGGAGCAGUGGCCCCAGAGGAUGAUAUGAUGGAGCUAAUAGGAAUGAAGCAGGAGGAACAAGAAUCCCUUCGGGAUUUUGUAAAACGAUAUCACCGAGCCGUGCUUGAUUUGGGAGCUUUCAAUCACCCGCAGGCGUUGAGGGGAUUAAAGGAGGGAGUGAGGAUAGGCCGGCUAUGGUAUAACCUGAGAAGUCCCUUGGUACAGAAUUACUCAGCGGGGUAUGAGCAGGCAAAGAGAGACAUUGAAAUCGAAGAGGAAAAGUCGGCGAUGAUAAAAAGUGAACAGCUGAAGGAGCUGAGAAGAAAGGAAAGGAGAACCCCGAGUGGGAGCGGAUCGGGAAAGCGAGUUGGGGAAUCUUCAGCUAAGGGCGGAAUAUCAGCUCGGUCCCGCCCUUACCCUGUAGCUUUGAGACCGCAAUAGUUCCAACACAGCCGAGCCCAACCUCCUCGUACUUCAUUCCCGGAGCGGCAACGAGAAUUCAGGCAAAUGGCUGCCCGCCCUUAUCACAACGCUCCCAGACCGUUACAUACAAGUGGUUCCAGGGUAGGAAGACCAGACCAGCUAGCGACUAUACCAGCCUGAGAUGACAUUCAGGAUAGCCGAGCAGUUCAACUGAUAGACCAGAGCUUGGCAUAUAGACAGUACACUCCAUUGAAGAUCUCCAUGGAGGAAUUGUAUGAGAGGAUCGAAGGACGAGGCCUGCUGUACCCUCCAGCCCCUAUAACAAAACCGGCUCACCGACGGGAUAAUAACAGAUUCUGCAAGUUCCACGACACUCAUGGUCACACAAUCGACCAAUGUCGUGACCUGAAGAUUCAGGUGGAGGACUUAGUACGGAACCGGUACUUGGAUGAGUAUGUAGAGGGGGUGUCCCUGAUCAUCGAAUCACAGUAUACACGGGAUGAAGAAGUUCAGAGGGGUCUGGGAGGUGAACAGCCGACCAUCCAUGUGAUAGCUGGGGGGCCAACAUUGGCCGGGGAUUCGAACAGGGCACGGAAGAACUAUGAGAGAUAUGCCCUGACUAGCAAAGAAGUGCUUUUCAAUUUGCCGGCAACCAAGAAGGCAAAAGUGCGGCAAGUUCCCAUUAUGUGGACAGAUGACGAUGAAGAGGGUAUCUUAUAUCCGCAUAAAGAUGCACUGGUGAUCAAGGCAAUGGUGGCUGGUGCAGAAUUGUGACGAGUACUAGUAGACACAGGCAGCUCGGUUGACAUCCUGUUUAAGUCGGCUCUAGAUGAUAUGGGGAUUGCAGACUUGAAAUUAGAGCGGACAAAUACAUCCUUAAAGGGAUUUGGAGUGGGACGGUUAACUCCCAUGGGGAUCAUCGAACUCCCAAUUACUAUGGGGACGAAGCCAUUUGAAAGAACAAUGAUGUUGGAUUUUGUCGUGGUAGAAGAAAGAAGCCCUUACCAGAUGAUACUGGGGAGACCAUUCAUGAGGAUAAGUCAAUGCGUUGUAUCCACGCAUUACUUGGCACUGAAAUACAGAGUAAAUAGGGUGGUUGGCGUUGUAAAAGGCGACCAGAGGAUGACAAUGAGUUGUUAUGCUACAGCGGCCAAGGAGACACUGCAGGUUACUUCUCUAGAUAAUCGAGGAGAGUCCAAAAAGGGCCGCCAAGAGCCUGUUGAGAAACUGAAAGAAGUUGCGGUAAGCAAAAGCAACCCGAGCAGAAUAGUGAAGAUCGGGUCAGGAUUGGUUGGGGCAGUAAAAAGCGAGCUGAUAAAUUGCCUACAGUCUCAUGCGGAUAUAUUCGCCUGGUCUCAUGAAGAUAUGCCCGGAAUUGAUCGCGGGGUAGCUUGCCACAAGUUGGCAAUCAAGAAGGGGGCAAGGCCGGUGAGACAGAAGAUGAGAUGCUUCAACUAGGAAAGGUACGAGGCCAUAAAUGCCGAGGUGGAAAAGCUGUUGAAAGUAGGGGUGGGCAAAAAAAGCUGAUUAAUUAAAAAUCGAACCGAACCGAUCGGUUCGGUUCAGUUUUUUUGCGGUUUUUUUAUAACCAAAAAACCGAAAUAGUAAUAUUAAAAAAAUAGUAAAACCAAUCGGUUCGGUUUUCGGUUUUAAAAGAAAAACCGCAAAACCGAACUGAAAUCUCAAAUAAACCGAUUGUUUUGAAAGCUAAAGCUAAAACCCAAAAGCCUAAAAUCUAAAUCUAAACUUUUGACUUCUGUCUUCUUCGGUUCCCGACUUCCCGCUGGCCGCUGCUCGUCGUGACUUCUUCUGUUCCCGCUGGCCGUGCGGCAUCCUUCGCUGUAAUUUUUGUGAUCGUGCGGCAUCCCUCGCUGUAAUUUUUGCUUCUGCUAACCUUGUUACUGUCUCAACUGCACUCUUUUCAACAGAGUUGAAAUCAUUCUGCUUUUUGGCCUCCGUUGUCUGCACCCAGACCUUUACAAAUUGACCUUGUUGAUUGAUUGCUUUUGCUUGGGAAAUCACAGAGAAGAUGCAACACAUCAGGUGGGAUGCACUUUCCUUCUUGGGCAUAUUAAAAAAUUAAUUUUAACUUUUUUCUUUAAACCAAAAAAGAAAAAGAAAAAUUAUUAUCCAUAUGUCAUCAUCAUCAAUUGGAAUUGGUCAUAAUUUGGGACCACCAUGUUUGUGCUGCCAUGUCAAAUUUUUCUGCAGUUCUCUUUUUCAUUUUUUUAUAAUAUAUAAUCUCGAUUUUUGUAGAUAGUUUAUGUAAUAAUUAAUAUAUAUAUUCUUGGUUGGCCAAAAUGAAUACAAAUGCAAUUAAUGAAUGAAGAAGUUAUUCAUAAAGCAUCAUUUAUUUAUUUGUUCAUUGCGGUUAAGUUGUAUGCGAUCUAUUUGGUUGUUGGUUACAACCAGUUAAAUAUUUAUUUAAAAAUAAAAUAUAACCUGUUAAUUAAGAUGAAUGUUGUAAUAUGAAGUCUCUUAAUUUUGUAAAAUGUGCGUGGUUAUUCAAUAAUUUUGUAAAAUGGUAGAUUUAUUAAUUUAAAGUUUUAAAUUUAAAAAAGCCCAAAAUAGGCCCAAUAGGCCCAUAAUCGAAAUAAUCGAACCGAAUCGAAUCGAAUUAUUUCAAUUAAUCGAGUAUUUGAUUAUUUCGGUAAUUUGAUUAAUCGCGAUUAUGAUUUUAAAAUAAUCGUAAUCGAACGAUUAUGAAAAAUUUAGUAAAAAACCGAACCGAACCGAACCGCGCCCACCUCUAGUUGAAAGCAGGAUUUAUAAGGGAAGCCAAGUACCCAGAAUGGAUUUCAAAUGUAGUCCUGGUAAAAAAGGCCAACGGGAAGUGGAGAAUGUGUGUGAACUUCACGGACCUCAAUAAGGCAUGCUCAAAGGACAACUUUCCCCUACCCAAAAUAGAUCAGCUGGUGGACUCAACAGCAUGUCACAGUCUGCUCAGUUUCAUGGAUGCCUUUUCUGGAUACAACCAGAUACCCAUGGACGAGCAUGAUGAGGAAAGCACUGCCUUUAUAACUAACAUGGGUUUGUUUUGCUACAUGGUAAUGCCUUUUGGCCUAAAAAAUGCAGGAGCCACCUAUCAAAUGUUGGUAACCAAUAUCUUCAAACCGCUGAUUGGACACACUAUGGAGGUAUAUGUGGAUGAUAUGAUUACAAAGUCCAAAGAGCCGAGGGAUCAUGUGAAGCAUCUAGAAGAGACCUUUGAAUUACUGAGGAAGUAUGAGAUGAAACUAAACCCGGAGAAAUGUGCAUUUGGGGUUAGCUCGGGCAAAUUUCUGGGAUUCCUGGUAAGCCACCGAGGGAUUGAGGCCAACCCCGAAAAAAUACGAGCGGUUACAGAUAUGAGAUCUCCACGGACAGUUAAAGAGGUGCAGAGCCUUACAGGGAAGUUGGCAGCAUUGAACCGAUUCAUCUCGCGGGCCACAGAUAAAUGCCACACUUUCUUCCAAAUCAUAAAGAAAAGGAGAAAGAUGGAAUGGACAUCAGAGUGCGAGGAAGCAUUUGGGCAGCUGAAGGAAUAUCUGGCCCGUGCACCGUUACUAUCAACUCCGAGAGAGGGUGACCAGCUGCUUUUGUACUUGGCAAUCUCCAAGCGGGCUACCAGCUCGGUCUUAGUCAGGGAAGAAGAAGGGAAGCAACACCUGGUAUACUACACGAGCAAGGCCCUGGUGAACGCAGAAAUCAGAUAUCCACUAAUGGAGAAGUGGGCGCUGGCUCUGAUAACGGCAGCACGCAAACUCCGACCAUAUUUCCAAGCCCACCAGAUCGUUGUGAUGACUGACCAGCCCCUUCGGCAAGUGCUUCAAAAAUCAGAUGCGUCUGGUCGGUUAGUAAAAUGGUCUGUGGAGCUGAGCGAAUUUGACCUGUCCUACAGGCCCCAAGGAGCAAUCAAGGCCCAAGCCCUAGUAGAAUUUAUGGUAGACCGAGCUGAACCAGUGGAAGGAGAUCGGGAGGAGUAACAGUUAGAGCAUGAGAAAACAAAGGGGAUGUGGUUGGUAAUGGUUGACGGAUCAUGUAGUGAGCAAGGAUCCAGAGCAGGGGUUGUAAUACGGAGCCCAGAAGGAUCCGAAAUAACGUAUGCAGUGAAGUUCGAAUUUCAGCUCACAAACAACCAAGCUGAAUAUGAAGCCUUUAUCACCGGGCUCGGACUCGCACACGCCUUAAAAGCAGAGAUGGUAGAAAUCCGAACAGAUUCCCAAUUGGUAUGUAAUCAGCUCAAUGAUCAGUUCCAAGCAAGGGGAGAGAAGAUGGGCCUUUAUUUGAAGAAGGCGAAGUAGAUGGUCGGACUUUUUCAAGAGGUGGAGGUAAAGUAGAUAUCCCGGAAUGAGAAUUACCGAGCGGAUAUGCUGGCUAGGAUGGCUGCAAUUGCAGACCCGAAAUUACCUAAGUCGGUCCCACUAGAGGUAAGGAACUCGCCGAGCAUAGGGGAGGAAGUGGAGGUGAUGAGAGUAAGCACUGAAGAAUCCUGAAUGGACCCGAUUCGCGCGUAUGUCCGCGACGGAGUUUUGCCUGAGGACAAAAGGCAAGCGAGAAAGUUAAAAUACCGAGCAACGAGGUACACGUUAUUAGAUGAAGUGCUGUAUCGCCGAGGGUUCACCUUGCCCCUUUUGCGAUGUGUGGAUGAUGAGGAGGCAGAUUAUAUACUAAGGGAGAUUCAUGAAGGAAUUUGCGGCAAUCACUCGGGAGCAAGAACUUUAGCCUUUAAGGUACUCCGUCAAGGGUACUUCUGGCCAACCAUGCACCAGGAUGCAAAAAAGAUGGCAAAAAACUGUAAAAUGUGCCAAAGCUUCUCUGAGGUCCCCACACAACCCCCAGAAAAGCUAACCAUUAUGACAUCCCCAUGGCCUUUUGCACAAUGGGGAAUCGACCUGAUUGGUCCGUUACCGAAAGGGCGAGGAGCGGCAACCCAUGCAAUUGUAGCAGUAGACUACUUCACCAAGUGGAUAGAGAUGGGGGUCCUUAGCCAAAUCACAGAGAGAAAGACAACGGAUUUUAUCUGGAAGAAUAUCAUCUGCAGAUACAGAAUUCCUUAUACCAUCAUUACCGAUAAUGGGAAGCAGUUUGACAACAACAACUUCAGAGAGUUUUGCCGAAACCUAGGGGUGGAUUUGAAGUUCUGCACCCCCGCACACCCCUAGGCAAACGGACAAGUGGAAGCAGCCAAUAAAAUGGUAAAGAAACUCCUGAAGACUAGACUGGGAGAGAAGAAAGGAGCUUGGGUUGACGAGCUACCAGGGGUAUUGUGGGCUUACCGGACGACUCACAAAACCGCUACAGGGGAAACCCCGUUUGCCUUAGCUUUUGGUCAUGAGGCGGUAGUCCCAGCAGAAAUUGGAGUAGGAACACAUCGGACGAAAUACUUCAAUGAGGAGCAAAAUGGCGAGCAGAUCUGCUUGAGCUUGGACCUGCUGGAGGAGAAAAGGGAAGGGGCUUCGCAGAAAAUGGCCUAGUGUCAGCAAAGGGUCACGCGUUAUUACAACAAGAACGUACGCGUGAGGCAGUUCCGAACAGAAGAUUGGGUGCUCAGGAAGGUGAGCCAAAACACCAGGGAUCCCAACCAUGGAGCUCUUGGUCCGAAAUGGGAAGGCCCGUACAGGGUGAUACGAGCAACUGGACCAGGAGCCUACAAGCUGGCGUAUCCAGACGGACGAAAGGUGAAGAGGUCGUGGAACGUGGAGCACUUGAAAAAGUACUUCCAGUAAGCAAAGUGCUCUACUAGUUUUCAUUUUGAUAAGUUAUUUCUGUUAUGAGCAAUGUGAUUUGUGACACACACAUAUAUCCCAUACUUCUGUAACGCAUUCGAAAUUCAAUAAAGAUGAAUUCAGUAUGGAACCCUUCUGCUAGUAAGCCCAUUAAAUGCUUACUAAUGCAAGAAAGUGCAUGUUUCUGCUCGGUCAACGAAAGACCAACAGCUAAAGCUUCGAAAAAUCUAUUAAGGCAACAAAGUGCCUGUUUCUGCUCGGUCAACGAAAGACCAGCAGCUAAGCUUUGAAAAAUCUACUAAGGCAACAAAGUGCCUGUUUCUGCUCGGUCAACGAAAGACCAGCAGCUAAAGCUUCGAAAAGUCUACUAAGGCAACAAAGUGCCUGUUUCUGCUCGGUCAACGAAAGACCAGCAGCUAAAGCUUCGAAAAAUCUACUAAGGCAACAAAGUGCCUACUUCUGCUCGGUCAACGAAAAACCAGCAGCUAAAUUUACGAACUUUUACUAAGGCAAGUAAGUGUCUGCUCCUGCUCGGUCACCGAAGACCAGCAAGCGAUUUUGCGAAAAUUUUACUAAGGCAAACGGAUGCCUAUUCCUGUUCGAUGCACUAAAGAACCAACAGGCAAAACCAGAAAAGAAAGCCAAUAGAGAGCAUUCAAAUAAUUUUUUAUAAGCGUUCAAAUGUUUACAAAGCAAGUGAAAAACUAGAGUCUUUACAAAAAUAGACCUAAGGAUUAGGAGGAUCAACGACCUCAGCAGGUGAAGGGUCAGCUAUUUCGGGAGGUGGAAGGUCAGCAAUAUCGGAGGGAGGAGGCACGGACCCCUGUCCCACUUCAAAAACACGCUGCCCAGCUUCUCCCUCAUACACCCCAUCCAAAGGAGCCUCUACCUGGUCCUGCUCACCCUGCUCCUUAUCUGCUUGGUCGACAUCUGCCAUAUACCGCUGCACUCCGGCCUCCAGCUUGCUCAUGUCCAGCUCGGGAUAUUCUGUCUUAAGCACAGACAUGAUGCACUUGUAGGAGAAGGCAACCCCAGAAUCAUACUCGGCAUCCAGCCGAUCAUCCACAUCAGCAGAUUUGCCUUUCUCCUCAGCCAGCUGCUCACCCAAGGAUUUUAUUUCCCCCUCAACGGCGGUCCUCAAAGUAUCCCUUUCAGUUUGAGUAGCCUGAAGAUCAGAUCUCAGGUCACCCAACUCGCCCUCAAGUUUGGAGGAAGUGGAUUCAGCAACCGCAACUUUCUCCUCUAGCUCCGUGAUCUGCUUAUUCAGCUCAGCCAGCUUCUCCUUGGAGCGAUCAGCAGAGUCAGCUUUCUUCUUCAAUUCCUGGUUGUCAGCCUGGAGCUUCCUCUCAUGGCGCGCGGACCCAAUCUUGUAGCACGAAACUAUGGUUGCCAGCCUGAAGGACACUCUCUGAACAGAAGCAGCUAGCUCGGAGAGGUUCAUACUCUCGAUGUCCUUCACCAUCUUGGGCCCCACCGAUCUCUUGUAAUCCUUUUGAUACGAGCUCAGGUAGUCCGCUUGAUCCCGAGAUGGUAGAGGAGAAGAUCGGUCCCCAGAUGGGUAGCUGACCUCAGGACUUUUGUCAGAAGUUUUCUCCCCGCCACUCUUACGGGGUGGAGGAGGGGGCAGAGCAGGGACAGGAGCCUUGGAAGGGCCGACACUGGUUUUCUUUGGAGGAGGAGGGGGGUUGCUGGAGCUGCUUGGAGCCCGACCACGCUUCCUGCUCAUCGCGCUGAGGAUCGUGUUAUCCAUUCCAGCGGCUAGGUCUUCUAGGCCCGAACCGACCAGGCUUGUUGGUGACAGGAGGUCCUGGCAGGUAGACGCGUUCAACAGAGCAGUUUCCACCUGAAGCAAAGGUCGAUCUUCAAGCCCCCCGAUUAAACCCCACGACUCUGAAAUAGCAAAAGAGGUUAAAGAACUCGAUAAGUGACAAUUUGAGUAAGAGCAUAGGCAAAAAUGAACGACCUGGGGUGACAAAAUGUGUGGGAAGAUAAAUGUCCCCACCAAGCGAUCGAACCGCUGGACACCAGUUCCCCCCGGCAAAGAAGAAUUUGUUCUUCUAAUUUUUACAUGAAGAGGGAAACCCAGUGAUCGGUUUCCUCUUUGCAGAACUGGACAUAAAGUAGUACCAGCCCGCUUCCCUCGGGCUACUCCGUAGCUGGUACAGAUGUUUCACUUCAACAAGGGAAGGCUCCUCCGACCCGCACCUCUCCCAUAACACAAACAUUGCCGAGAGAACCCUCCAGCCAUUUGGGUGUAGUUGACUUGGGGCCAGGUGCAUACCGCCCAGUAUCUUGGCAAAAUAACGUUGAAGGGGCAGCCGAACUCUUAGUCUGAAACUCUCCAAAUGCAUCGUCACAUGCCCUUUCGGAGGCCGACUAGGGAUAUCACCUUUUCCAGGAACUACAAGAAGAACAUCGUUGGGGAUGUUGUAGAGGUUCCUAAGCUUAAAUAGAUCAGUGGGGGUGGUGGCACAAGCUAUGAAAUCAAUAGGGUAGGAAUCAGCCUCCACCCUAUGGCCAAGAUGCCUUUUCUUAGCAGGUCCGCUCGGUCCGGAACUGCUCCCCUCACCAUCACCAGCUCCCUCAGGGAUCCCAACCCCACUAAAGCUGUGGUUCUCACCAGAGCCCGACGCAGGUCCACCUCUAUUCCCUACAAGCUCUAGUUCGGGGGAAGGAGAGACAACCAAGGGUCGUGGGUACUCGAGGGUACCCCUGCCAUGGGAAGGACCUACGCUACUGGAGGGGCCUAAGAAAUUUGUGGGUAUUGACACGUUGAGGCCUGAAUCCCCUGAUUCUUCAUCACUUUCAUCAACAAUUAACUUUCUUUUCCGGUUUGACAUAUCGGAAUCCCAAAAGAAAACAAGGAAAACUCGAAUAUACGGAUACAAAAUGGGGCAACACGAAACCCAAUCAACAACAACCAGAGAAGGGAUUAAAAGCAGUACCUGAAAUGAAUUGGCCCUGAUAGCGCUGCCGUGACAGAGAAAAAACCAGCAAGUAGAGACUCCGGACGCAGGGAAUGUGAGUAAAGUUCAGAAAGGGGGGAGGUUAACGACGGAGAGACGAAUAACACGGAGAGACGAAUAACAAAACAAUGACAAUGUAAGUCUAGGGAUUUGAAACGAAAAAGGGGAAAUGAAAGCAUUUAAGUGAUGGGGAUGCCAGCUCACUCACCAAAUAUCGAGGACAGAUAGCCCGUCGUUUCAAAUUUCAAAUAUAAAGAAUCUGGAGGUGCCACAUCACCAACCGUUACAAGGGGCCAAGAUAGACGUAAGCCCAGAUAUGCAAUAAACAUGCUCAUUUAGGCCCAUACUCAGGUCGGAAUCUCCCCAAAAGAAAAAUGGUACCUCAGGUCCGCCCCAGCAAACAAAAGACCAGAUUAGAAGCUCCCCGGGUUGGUGAGAUUUGACCAUUAGUUUCUACUCUUCACUCAUUUCACUCGCCAGACCAGAAACUGGGGGACUGGUGUUGAGUACAUAAAAGCACCAGGUCGGCCAUGCUAUUAUUUCCGCCCCGGCACGGAUCGCUUCAGCCAAAGUGAUAUGAGCAGAACACGUGGGCUAACAUGAGCCGACCAGAGAUGAAUACAACCAGGGAAAAAUACCGACCAGAGGUAUAUACCGAGCGGACACUCAUCCCUAGAGAAGCGGGAACACGAUCCCACAGAAUUGCAGUAGUUGCGCUUUUCCCAGAACCGUUGAAGGACACGCGAGAUCCACGUUUGCCCACAAUGUAACAGUUAGAGUCCCAUGAGAGGCUGCCACUACCCGAAAAAGGUGGGAUGAAUGGCAAACGGAAACGUGGGGACAGCGGCUAUAAAAGAAGAAGAAAUCGAUGAAGAAAAUGGGGAAAAACUUAGAGAGGGAAAACGCUGCCAAAUUGCAACCAGGCCAUUUCCUUACAAAUUUCUAACAAACUUCUUGAAUCCAAAUUACAUUGUUUUCCCGUAAAUACCUUGUGCUAACUUAGGCAUCGGAGGGUUUACGCCGGCAAAACCACCGGCGUCUUUGACCCAUUUUUUUGAACGCAGGUCUAGUGAGAGAAAGGAGGGUGAUACCAGCCUUAGUGGUUCGAACAAACAGUCGAUAAUACAAACGUUGGUGAAAGAAUCUGGUCGGUCCAAGGGCGAGCAGAUUUCAGCAUCAACAAUAUGUUUCCCAUGUGCCCAAGAAUUUCAGUUAUGGCAGCUCCAAGUCAAGGGAUGACGAAAAGCUUAGAGAUAUGUUAAGACAGGCGACGUGUAAGCGGAUUAUUGGCCGGGAGGUGGGGCUGAAUCUACAGCGCCAAACGGAGGUGAUUGAGGCUACUACUAUGCGAAAGAGUUACAGUGUUGGCGUUGGAAAGAUAGGGAGAAUUGAUGAAGAUAAGGCUUGUUCCUUUGAGGAGAAUUUGUUGUACCCAAGGAGCAAAAGCCAUGCCAUUGGAAAUGUUUGCAUCGUUAAUUAGUUAGUGAAAUACUACUACAUUUAAUAUGCUAGUUACAGUUGAGAUUAAGGGUAAAAUUGCUUCAUUGUUUGUGUAUUAAUACAUUAUAUAUAAAAUGGUCACUCAUUUGGUGAUGUUCGUUAUGAAUCUUUGAACUUUUCAAAGUGAAACAAGUUCCGAAAUUUAGGCCAAUUCCCUUAAUUGGUUAUUGCAAUUUUUACAAUCAAUCAAAAUUAUUAAAUUUAUGCUGAUUGGACCAUUUCUGUUUCAUUUUCAAUCACUUGUUUAAAUUAAAUCUUUCGAUCGUGGUGGCCAUCAAGGGUAUAAAACGUAAUAUGUUGCAGAAUCCAAAUGUUUUCAACCCAUAGAAACACUUGUGGAAGUUUAUCAGACAUUACUAUUAUUAACAUUUAAAUCACUUAUUAGUUAAAACUAUUAACAAUUACGAUCGAUGUUGAUAUAUUGUAUAAUAACUAAUAGUAAUCCCUCGAAUUAGUUUAGUCUUCCUUGUUACCCUGCCUCUCAAACAUUGCAUACUUGUUCAGUUAUCUUAAUGUACGUGGUAGAUUUGGAGGCAUGCAUGGAUCGCUUUUGGAUGGCUCAAUUCAAAAGAAUCUUGAAGUUAAUUUUAUUUUUCAAAAUUGUCACAUACAUACAAUUUGAAACUUAUUAAAAGCCUAAAUACAUAUAAUUUAUGGUACAAUUUAGAGGUUUGUCAAAGUAUUAAUUCAGUAAUCUAUACUCCCACAAAAAUAUAGUUGGAGAUAUAUUUUGAUAAAAUCAAUAGAAAUUGGAAUCCAAACUCUUAUGGUGUGUUUACUUGAGGGUUUAGGGAAUGAGAAUGAAACCUAUGUUUAAUUGACAAAAUGUAAUUUGGGAAUGAGAAUAAAAUAUGUGGGUCCCACACAAUUUGGGAAUAAUGAAUGAGAAUUUCAUUCCUAUGGGGGGUUGUGAAUAAAAAUGAGGGAAUGAGAAUGAAAUUCAUUUUUACUUUUGUAUCCCUCUAAUUUUUUCAUAUUUUCCGAAUUAUCCUCGUUCAAAUCACAAUUAAUUUUAUUAUUUUAAAUGUCAUUAUUAUUAUUUUUAUUAAAUUUUAUUAACUUUAUUAUUUUAGUUAUUAUUAAUUAUUGUUAUUAAAUUUUAUUAACUUUAUUAAUAUUAUCAUUAUUAACAUUUCUUAUGAUUUUUAUUAAUAUUAGCAUUAUUAACAUUUAUUAUUUUAAUUAAUAUUAUCAUUAUUAACAUUUAUUAUUUUAAUUAAUAUAUUUUUUAUAAUAAUAUUUAUACAUGUAUCUAGUUAAUGAAAAUUAUAUUAUUUAAUACUAUAGAUAUUUUGAUAAAUUAAUUCUCAUUUACAUUCCUCAUUCUCAUUUGUUUUGUAGAUAAAUAUAUCAAUGACAUUUCAGCAUAUUUUCAUUCUCAUUUAUUUUUACCAAAUAAAUAUUGAAAUCUCAUUCUCAUUUUAAUACAUUUUUAUUCUCAACUCAUUUUAUGAAUUAAACGCACCAUUAAUAUUGAAGGACGUGUGUUACCGCCGGUCCAAAAGGCCAAAUGGCCAAUGAUAGUUUGGGGGUAUUUUGUGGUAAAUAAAAACUAAUAGAGGUCAAAAUAAAAAUUCGUUAUCAUUGAGUCUUGAUGUGUGGUAAAAAAAAAGAAGUACAGCUUUGGGGCAGGGGGUUGGUAGCGUGUGUGAUCCAAAUCUUAGCAGGCACACUGGCACAACUUUUCCAUAUUUUAAAGGUCCGCCUAGUCUAAUUUCAUAUAGUCCCCCUAUAUUCUAUAUUAUUUAUAUUUUAUUUAUAAAUAUUAUAAAUUUUUUGAAAUAUAAAAUUUCGUUUAAACCCCUUAUACUCAAUUUUAUUUUAUUAAAAUCAUAGAGUAUGAAUUCGCCCCCAUAAUUUUAAAUUCUCAAAAUAACCUCCAUUUAAUUAAAAAUAUAAUUAUUGUUAAAUGAAUUAUAAUUAUAAUUAUAAUUUUAUUAUAAUCAUAAAUAUUUUUUAAUAGAUUAUUGUUAUUAUUAAUAACGAUAAUAAAAAAUAUUAUAAUUAAUUAAUCUAUUAACAAUAAUUAAUAAUAUUUUUAUUAAAUUGUUAGUAAUAAUAAUAAUAAUUAAUGAUAAUCAACAUAUUUAUGAUUAUAAUAAAAUGGAAUAAACACUGAGUCUAUAUUUCUAUAAGAGACUCUUUUAUAUUUCUAUACAUUUUAAUUUCAAGUACUUUUAGGAUUUUUUUGUUACCUUCAUAAAUAAUGAUUUUGUAGGCAUCUCAUUAUUAAACGGUCAUUUUUAAGUGCUUUUUGCUAAGUUGUUACACAUUCGAGGAUGUAAACACAUUUUUCUUGCUUCUAUUUUUUAAAUAUAAAAUUAUUUUUAUUGGGUCAAGCUUAAAAUUCUGACAGAAAUUAUCAUUUAUUGGUCUCUUGAAACCCGAUAAUGAGUAUUUAAAGUCGAAGGUAGCAUUAGCAAUAUAUUUACUAUUAGUUAGAUAAUCAUUAAUUAUUAUUAUUAUUAUUAACAAUUUAUAAUGCUUAACAAAAUUUUAUUUUAAUAACAAUAAUCUAUUAAAAAAAUAUUUAUGAUUAUAAUAAAAUUAUAAUUAUAAUUAUAAUUCAUUUAAUAAUAAUUAUAUUUUUAAUUAAAUGGAGGUUAUUUUGAGAAUUUAAAAUUAUGGGGGCGAAUUCAUACUCUAUGGUUUUAAUAAAAUAAAAUUGAGUAUAAGGGAGUUAAACAAAAUUUUAUAUUUAAAAAAUUUAUAAUAUUUAUAAAUAAAAUAUAAAUAUUAUAGAGUAUAAAUAAAAAUAAAAAGUGCUAAAUAUAGGCUGUAUACAGCCAUAAACGAAGAAAGUUUGGAUUUGUAAUUAUAUUUCAUAAGAAAAUUAUCGCCGUACCUUCCUGGUUCCUUUAUCUAUCGUCAAGACAUUGUGUUAUGGAUCGCAAUUCCAUUAACACUGUUCUCCUCUCAAUUAUUCAGCGUAGCUAAACCUGAAAGUGGAUCUUCAAAUCAUUGAGCAUGGCAGCAUUGCAAUUAUUUUUUCUCUUUGUGGCCCUUAAUGUGGUCCUUGGUUCAUCACGGCAAAUCAUCACGACCCUGCCGGGCUUUGAUGGUGAUCUUCCCUUCAAACUCGAAACU
rnacentral:lncRNA from 1 species